CAGCAGCCGCGGUAAUACGAAGGGGGCUAGCGUUGCUCGGAAUGACUGGGCGUAAAGGGCGCGUAGGCGGAUGGCACAGUCAGAUGUGAAAUUCCCGGGCUUAACCUGGGGGCUGCAUUUGAUACGUGUUGUCUAGAGUGAGGAAGAGGGUCGUGGAAUUCCCAGUGUAGAGGUGAAAUUCGUAGAUAUUGGGAAGAACACCGGUGGCGAAGGCGGCGACCUGGUCCUUUACUGACGCUGAGGCGCGAAAGCGUGAGGAGCAAACAGGAUUAGAUACCCGGGUAGUCCCUGUCUCUUAUAC
rnacentral:rRNA from 1 species